CCCCCUCUACCUUGCGCGCGUCAACGUCGCGGAGGGGUGGCAACGCGCCAUUAUAGGCGCGGCAAAGCGCAAGA
rnacentral:ribozyme from 1 species